CAGGAGAAAGCAACUCAUUCUGGAGGCCCUGGGAAGAUCACGGAUGAAAUAGGUCUGAAAUGACUGUUCAGUCUGAGGCUGAUCAAAUCUAGAGGGGCUCCUGCUCCGGUUCCCAGUGUGUGCAGUGGCAGCUUGCAGAAGUAGUGACAUCACAGCCUUCCUGAAAAAGCCCUGGAGUAAAAUGAAGAAGAGGAGGCCCUUCCUGAGCAUGGCAGAGAGGGAGAUGCUGCACAUUUCACAUUGUAUUUCUUUUCUUUUUUUUUUUUUUUUUUAAGGCAACAGCCCAAUCUCCCGAGGAGGCUAGAUCAGACACAUUUGCUGUUUCUUGAGAAUAAACUUCCCAGUAUGUUUGUACAGCUGCAUACUUGAUUCAGUCGCUGCAGGCUGACUGAUUGCUUCAGUGGAAGCAGGGCCGGCUCUAGGAUUUUGCCGCCCCAAGCAAAAAAAAUUUUGGCUGCCCCCGUCCCAGCCCUGGGCUCCUUGCCACACACCCCCUGCUGCCCCAGUCCUGGGCUCUCCCCCGCCACCCACACCCCCUGCUGCCCCAGUUCUGGACUCCCCCCUUCAUUGCCCCCCCACACACCUCCUGCCGCCCCAGCCCUAGGCUCUUUCCCCCCCACCCCACCUGCACCCACUUCUGCCACAGCCCUCGGUCACUGGUAACUCGCUCCCAGGGCAGGUCAUUCAGCAGGAAUUGUAGAUGUGCACAGAACACAGACAGGACUGGUUCCCAUAUGGUUACAGAACUGCAGUAAAGUGGAACAAUUUUCAGCUUGUGUGAUUGGAGGAUAUCUGGAUGCAUAAGACAGUCCUACAUAAAUGAGGAAAAGUUGAGGUGGCUUCUUUUUUUUGUUCCACUCUUUCUUUCUAUGGGGAAUUUGCUAAUGCAAUAUCACGGUCUUCCUUUUAAACAAACAAACAAACAAACAAAAAGGCAA